UACGGAGGAUGCAAGCGUUAUCCGGAAUCAUUGGGCGUAAAGCGUCCGUAGGUGGCGAAGCAAGUCUGCUGUCAAAGAAUGGAGCUUAACUCCAUAAAGGCGGUGGAAACUGCGUCGCUAGAGUACGGUAGGGGUAGCGGGAAUUCCCAGUGUAGCGGUGAAAUGCGUAGAUAUUGGGAAGAACAUCGGUGGCGAAAGCGCGCUACUGGGCCUGUACUGACACUGAGGGACGAAAGCUAGGGGAGCAAAAGGG
rnacentral:rRNA from 1 species